rnacentral:lncRNA from 1 species
UUUAAGUUUAAUACAUUAUAUAAGUGUGUAAAUAGGCCCUCAAUAAAGAUGAAAAACUACAUUCUUUGGAUCAUUGAGAGGAAAACUGAGAGAAGAAAGUGGAUUUGCCAAACUAAACUUCAACAAAGAUCCCCAGGAAUAAGAAGCUGUCAGAAUAUUUAAGACAUAUGGUGCAUAGGCCUCCCACCAAAGAAGUGACAGCAGGAAUGGAGAGAAAGAAGGACAUCAGAGGUAUUUAAAAGAAACAAUCAUCAGGACAUGGUGACUGGAUGAAGAAAUGACAAGACUCAGAAACAAUUACAGUAUCCAGCCAGAAAGGUCCGGUGGCACAUUGUACAAUUGAAGACACUAGGAAAUGUAGAUGUGUAGGUAGAUUCCC